rnacentral:rRNA from 1 species
AUACGGAGGAUCCGAGCGUUAUCCGGAUUUAUUGGGUUUAAAGGGAGCGUAGAUGGAUGUUUAAGUCAGUUGUGAAAGUUUGCGGCUCAACCGUAAAAUUGCAGUUGAUACUGGAUAUCUUGAGUGCAGUUGAGGCAGGCGGAAUUCGUGGUGUAGCGGUGAAAUGCUUAGAUAUCACGAAGAACUCCGAUUGCGAAGGCGGGCUGGCUAGGUGGAACUGGCAAUGAGGGGCGAAAGUGUGGGGAUCAAACAGGGGUAGAUACCCUGGUAGUCCACACGGUAAACGAUGAAUACUCGCUGUUUGCGAUAUACUGCAAGCGGCCAAGCGAAAGCGUUAAGUAUUCCACCUGGGGAGUACGCCGGCAACGGUGAAACUCAAAGGAAUUGGCGGGG